CCUUCGAUAGCUCAGUUGGUAGAGCGGAGGACUGUAGGUUCUUUGGGCGUGUAGUCAUCCUUAGGUCGCUGGUUCGAUUCCGGCUCGAAGGA
rnacentral:tRNA from 1 species